rnacentral:lncRNA from 1 species
GGGGCAUUUCCCUUCCUCACUGAGCAGGUGAGGGCAGGUGGCUCAGCCAAGGCCGCAGAGCCAGGAUUGGAGAUCAGGACUUGUCAUGGGUCCUUGUGUCCCCCAGGGCACACAGGUGUGGUGCUGUAGGUGCUGAGGGGUCCUAAGGUGGCGGGUGUUUAACACCUGGUGAGGUUAAAUGCUAGGGUUUUUUCUUCGAAAUGGGGUCUCACUCUGUUGUUCAGGAUGGAGUGCAGGGGCUCGAUCACCACUCCCUGUAGCCUCUACCUCCCAGACUCAAGUGAUCUUCCUGCUUCAGCCUCCAGAGCAGCUGAGACUAGAGGCGCACAUCACUACGCCCGGCUAAUUUUUUUUUUUUUUUUUUGUAGAGACAGGAGGUCUCCCUACGUUAUCUUGGCUGACUUCUAACUUCCGGCAUCAAGCAAUCCUCCCUUCUUGGCCUCCCAAAGGGCUUGGAUUACAGGUGUGGCCAUCACGCCUGGCCAAAUGCAAGGAUUCUCGCCCACUGCCUCCCCUCUAGCCACCCAAGAACACGGAUGAGGGGCCCAGAAACAUGCAUGCAUUCUGAUGCUCAAAAAUGGCAUGCAUAGGGACGUGGUCAUCCUGGAUGGAGCAAUUGGAGAAACUGGCAGCAGCAAAGGGACCCUGGACUCGGCUGUCACAGAGGCCGCCGACCAAGCCUGGCACCUGACCAUCCCACUACCUCCUCCAGGUCUGGCUAGACCUGGCUCAGGUGCGGAGGGCACCACCUGCCACCCUUCAUUCUCUCCCCCUGGCCAGUUUUGGCCUUAAAUGGUUGUAGGCUGCUUUCCCCUCUCAGCCCGGUUUGCAGAUCCUCCCCUACACUCGUGCAGUCUUCCCAGUCAUCCUCACAAGGCGAGAGGGCCGGGCCUGAGCUCUCCUUCAGCACUUCCUGCUGAGGCUGGUGCUUGACCUGGCCUAGGCCUGGGUGAACAUGGUGAAUUCCUCUUCUGCCCGAAGCCUGCUUCCUGCUGUCCUUCCCAAGGGCGUGGUGAGAAGUGGGCGGGAGUAGGAAGUCUCCAAAGAACAGAGGCACUGAGAGGGUGUCAGAGGCACAAUGCCGUUGUGAAGGUCACCCCACACCGUGGGACCCAGCCUGACCUCCCAACAGCAGGGCUGGAGGUGGCCCUCUUCCAUGCAUGGCAGAAAAAAGAGGGCCACUGUACACCCUGAAGCUGAUUUACUCUCAUUCAGAACUGCUUUCAUGAAAUACAAAUAGAACAAUGUGGGCUGGAUGCGGUGGCUCACACCUAUAAUCCCAGCACUUUGGGAGGCCAAGGUGGGUAGAUCGCUUGAGCUCAGGAGUUUGAGACCAGCCUGGGCAACAUGGUGAAACCCCAUCUCUCCUUAAAAUUUUAAAACAGAAAAAUCAAAAACAAACAAAAGCAAAUAGAACAAGGUGGACAAAAAUCUACCAUUAGAGUCACCAAGGAUAAAACCUCCCAGGAUGCCGUGGACACUUUAGACGCUGGCUCUCAACUCUUGCAGUGAUGUCACUCUCAGCCCAAGGCUGUCUUCCUGGCAUCCAUCAGAUCCGCAGCCCUGGUUUGGAAGUGUGUGGAGGGCUAGGAAGGAUACCUAAUUUUCCUCAGCAAAUCCCUCUGCCAAGGGGUACCCAGGACUGAAGAGAAACCCCAGCUCUGGUGUGGAGCUGUGCUGUCAUGGCAGUGCCAAGGCAGCCAGUGGAAGUUGGCUGACAAGGCAAACUGAGGCAAUCCACGCAGAAUUCAAUGGCCACCCAGGCUGGAGUGCAGUGGCAUGAUCAUGGCUCACUGAGCCUCCAACUCUCAGGCUUAAGCAAUUCUCCCACCUCAGCCUCCCAAGCAGUGGGGACCACAGGCAAGUGGCACCACGACUAAUUUUUUUUUAUUUUUUGUAGAGACGGGAUCUUGCUGAAUUGCCCAGGCUGGUUUCAAACUUCUGGGCUCACCAAAGGCCUCUUUUCUAAGAAAGAGCCCUCUCCCUCCUCUCCCUCUUGCUGUCUCCAGGAGAGACAUCCUGCAAGGUUGUAUUCUUUUUUUUUUUUUGGGACAGAGUUUUACUCUGUUGCCCAGGCUGGAGAGCAGUGGUCCAAUCUCAACUCACGGCAACCUCCACCUCCCGGGUUCAAGUGAUUCUCCUGCCUCAGCCUCCUGAGUAGCUGGGACUACAGGCACAUGCCACUAUGCCCAACUAGUUUUUUUUUCUAUUUUUAGUAGAGACGGGGUUUCACCGUGUUAGCCAGGAUGGUCUUAAUCUCCCGACCUUAUGAUCUGCCCACCUCGGCUUCCCAAAGUGCUGGGAUUCCAGGCGUGAGCCACCGCGCCCGGCCCACAGUUUUAUUCUUUACAGGAGGUCAGUGCCCAUCAUGUUCCCUGUCUACAGACAAAUAAAAAGCUGCUCUCUCCAGAGGGGCGGCAGCAGUCCUGAUGGUCCAGUGAGACCCAGAAGCUUCCAGGAGACCUUCAGUCCCGAGUCCCUUUCAGUCAUCAUCUUCUGAGUCUGACUCUUCUGUGGACUCAGAUGCGCUCUCUGGCAAGUCGUCUCCCAUCUGCUGGAACCUUCCCGACUGUGAAUCCCACAUGUAUUUGAUGGUCACCUUGAAUUCAGCCAUCUCAUACCCAAAAAGCUUCUGCAAGAGACAAAGGGAACAAAGAAUCAGGAGGAAUGAAGGUAUUCAAAGUGCAGGGGGGCAUUUUCAGCAGGCAGAGGAAAGCCAGCAACCCCGCCCGCAACAGCCCGCAAGGCGCCAGACUCACCAGGACGCGAGCCUGCUCUGGGGUCAGCACAUCGCCCUCCUUGCACACCUCGUAGUCAGACAGCAGAGUCACCACACCUGCAGAAGAGGGUGGCUCUCAGUUACCUCUGGCCCAGAGGCCUGCAGAGCCCUCUCUGCCCUGGUCAUGUUGGGAGGAAUCCAGUCAGCCACCUGCCCUCCCCACGGCUCCAACACACACUGGGCAGUGGCUGUCUCCCUGAGGUCCCUUUGAUUUGCCGCAGCCUCGACCUCCUGGGCUCUAGUGAUCCUCUUGCCUCAGCCUCCCAUGUAGCUAGGACCACAGGCACACACCACCAUGGCUGUCUAAUUUUUUGACUUUUUUUUUUUUUAAACAAGCGCAAGGCCCCUGAUGGGCCUCAAGGGCUGCAUUUUGGCUGUAAGUUACUGUCUGCUUUCACCCCCACUGUGAGGCAUGCACUCUUAGCCCCAUUUUCUCAUGAGAAAAUGGAAGCUUGUAGAAAUAACUUGCUCAGCUAGAAAGGGAUGAGCUUGCAGGCCCGUGCUCUUGGACUCUAGGCUGUGACCUUUUGGCUCCAGGGCUGCCCAUACCUCUCUUGAGGGCGGUGGGCAGGCCCAGCUGCCUGAGCUGUGGCUCCAUGGAGUGGGGGAACUGCUCCAGGGGCCCUGGAUCCAGGCUCACAGUGAAAGCUGCUUUGUUACCAGCUCGGGCGUAGUCCAUUUCUGUGUAUUUCGUGAACCACCUAAGGGAAAAGAGAAGUGGUAGGAGGAGAUGCUCCUGGCCACGCCACCAGCCCAUGAGUCAGGCUCCCCCAAGUGUCCCGUGGCCCUGGGCCUUCCCCCAUCACAGACCUUGGCUGCUGGCCAGCAGCCAGCCCAGAGCACCAUGCUGGAGAGGACAGAGAGGGCUGUGGUCCCAGGCCACUAGCUCAGUGACAGGCUUCCAGGAGCAGUUCCAACUUGAUGCCACAUAUGGAACGAAGUUCCUGCAUCAUUCCCUCCCUGAAAUCCCCUCUCACCCGCCUCUUUCCCUCCGUUCCUCAGCAGUACUUACUCAUUCACCUCCUCCUUUGUGCGGUUGGUGAACAGGAGACCCACCUCACCCCUCAACCUUUUGCUGACCUACAAAUCAGGAGUGAGGACAGCUUGGUCACAUUAGAGCAGUGGUUCUCUACUAGGCACGUUUUUGCUCACCGGGUACAUUUGGCAACAUUUAAAGACGUUUUUGGUUGUCAUAGCAGGAAGGAGUGGGAGGCAGGAAGCUGCUAUUCCUUGGGUCCGGAGGUGAAGGGAGAACCCAGAGCUUUAAGCCAGGCCCUGCUCUCCCUGAGCCUCCGGCCUGCCAAUGGCUGGGGGAGGCUGUCACAUGGGAGUAGUGGGAGAGAGGGCGGCUUUGCCUUAGCUCCACCCCGUGAGGGCCAGAGACUUACCUGGUGCAGGUUGUCUUUGUAUUCAUCAGAUGGGCUCCGACCCAAGGCCACCAUCAUCACCUUGUUUUUGCCAAAGAACAUCCUACCAAGCAAGAGAAAGAGCAUUCUGUGAAGGAAGAGCCCUGCCCUCCCCAUCCCUCAGCAACAUGCAAAGUAGCUCCGGUCCCCAGUGAGCUCAGGCCCAGGCUGAGCCAGUGGCACCCACUUCUCCAUGCUGCCUGGCCACACUGUCCCCACGUUGGGGUCCCUUUCAUUAUGUUCCCACCCACAGACUCCUGACAUGGCAACAUUUUGUCUCCCAGCCCAUCACGAGCAUCAUGUACCAGUUCUCUAUCUGGAUGUAUGCGGGAGGCAUGUUAACAGCCUGAACCAGAGCUGGUGCGGCAAGAGACCACCACCAGAGCCACCUGCCCCAGGACAGAAACUUGCCAUGUGGCUCCUGCAUCCUGCUCCCAGGUCACUGUCUGUGUCGCAGUGUCCCUACUGACAUUCUAAAACUGGUGUGAUGCUCCUAAAUGGCCCACAGUCCAGGGUUAAAGGGCCACUUCUCCGGAAAGGCCCACCUCUCAAACAUCUCCUGAGCAACUGCCAAGUCCUGCCCCUAGGAGCUCAGUGCAAAAUCUGCUUUUUGAGGUGGAGUUUCACUCUGUCACCCAGGCUGGAGUGCGAUGGUGCAAUCUCAGCUCAUUGCAGCCUCUGCCUCAUGGGUUCAAGUGAUUCUUCUGCUUCAGCCUCCUGAGUAGCUGGGAUUAUAGGUGCCUGCCACCAUGCCCGGCUAAUUUUUGUAUUUUCAGUAGAGAAGGGGUUUCGCCAUGUUGGCCAGGCUGGUCUCAAACUCCUGACUUCAGGUGAUCCCCCUGCCUCAGCCUCCCAAAGUGCCAGGAUUACAGGCGUGAACCACCGCACCCUGCCCAAGACCAGCUUUAACAGUGAAAAGGAAGUGCUCUUCAGUGGCAGGUAGCACUUUGUCCUUAUUAAGGUGUCAGCGGCAUGACCCAGGCACCUAAAGGGUCAGAAAUUGCUCCUGUGCUUUGACUGAGAGCAGCCUGGCCGGGUCCCCACUCAGAAGGGCCUUCCUCCCCCUGCCCGCUCACCGGCUGUGCUUCCAGGCGUUCCGGAUGUCCUUCAGCUUGCUGUUCCUCAUGUUGGCCACAGAGAAGAUGAAAAGGUACUUGUAGGUGUCCACACAUUUCCGAAGCUGUGGGACAAUUCACGAGGCUCUGAGUUCAAGCAGCAGCAUACAACGGGCACUACUCUGGCCUCAGAUGAGAAUGAAUCUGCUCUGGGCCCCUGACAACUAUGGAAACUGGAAGAACUGGAGGCCUCUAAUUUGGUUGUCUCCUACCUCCAUUACUGAAAUUAGGAUCCCUAACCACAGGGGAGGCUGAGCCAUGGAUCUACACCCCACGGCCUUUUCCAGGUCUCUCACUUAUUUAUGACCAACAGUGGAACUGAUCAUCAGCUGUUAACCUAGAAACAUUCACCCACAUUAGGAAGGGUCCUGCUACAUGGAAACACAUGGAGCCUCUCUGUUAUAAGGGGAGGCAGCUGAUCGGUACUGCUCUGCACGUGGUGCUGGCCAAAGCCACCAUGAGGCAGCCUCUAGGAGUGGAGUCAUUGUGCAGGAGGAGACUGUUUCACCCAGCCUGCAGCCCAGGUUGGCAGGUCAGAAGCUGUACAGACAGUGGGUUGGUGCAGUCACCUACACCUGGUAAAUCUCCCAGCUCUUUUUUUUUUUUUUUAAAGACAGGGUCUCACUCUGUUGCCCAGGCUGCGUACCACCACGUCCAGCUAGUUUUUUUUUCUUUUCUUUUUGUAGAGAUGAGGUUUUGUCAUGUUGCCCAGGCUGCUCUUGAGCUCCCAGACUCAAGCUGUCUGACCCACUUGGCCUCCCAAAGUGCUGGGAUUACAGGCGUGGCCCACCAUUCCUGGCCUCCUGUUUUUUGACAUUAGGCAGGCUAACAAAUCUCUGUAAGCUUCAGUGACCCCAAAUGCAAAACAGCAACAUCAUCACCUAGUACCCACAUCACAGGGAUGUUAUGAGGAUGGAGUGGAACAACGCAUAAGAAACACAGUGCAGGACAGGGCACAGAGUACGAGCUAGUCAAAGCUGGAAAUCAUCACUAUGGAAGUUUUUGCUGGUGCUGCUGCUGGAGGAAAAAGGCCUGGAUUGGCAGCUUGGAGAUUUUUUUUUUUUCCCCACUAGUAUGUUCCCCUGGCCAACAGUCCUAUCCCUGGCCAACAGUCCUAUACCUACCUUUAUAAACCAAACAAUUGCAAGCUCUAGAAAAGAACAACCUCUUACCUCUUCUAUCAGGUUUUGUUUCAAUUCCAAGCCUUUCUUGGCAGUUUUGG